rnacentral:rRNA from 1 species
AGCAGCCGCGGUAAUUCCAGCUCCAAUAGCGUAUAUUAAAGUUGUUGCAGUUAAAAAGCUCGUAGUUGAAUUUCGGGGUUCUACCGUUGGUCGGGCUUUGUCUGUACUGGCGUGUAGAAUUUCUACCUUCUGGGGAACCAUUAUGUUAUUAAUUUAGCGUAGUGGGAAACCAGGACCUUUACCUUGAAAAAAUUAGAGUGUUCAAAGCAGGCUUAUGUCUGAAUACAUUAGCAUGGAAUAAUAGAAUAGGACGGUGGUCCUGUUUUGUUGGUUUCUGAAUCACCGUAAUGAUUAAUAGGGAUAGUUGGGGGCAUUAGUAUUCAAUUGUCAGAGGUGAAAUUCUUGGAUUUAUUGAAGACUAACUUCUGCGAAAGCAUUUGCCAAGGAUGUUUUCAUUAAUCAAGAACGAAAGUUAGGGGAUCGAAGACGAUCAGAUACCGUCGUAGUCUUAACCAUAAACUAUGCCGACUAGGGAUCGGACGAUGUUAAUUUUUCUUGACUCGUUCGGCGUCCUUACGGG